rnacentral:rRNA from 1 species
AUUGAACGCUGGCGGUAGGCCUAACACCUGCAAGUCGAACGAGUAGCGGACGGGUGAGUAAUGUCUGGGAAACUGCCUGAUGGACGGGGAUAACUACUGGAAACGGUAGCUAAUACCGCAUACCAUCGGAUGUGCCCAGAUGGGAUGAGCUAGUAGGUGGGGUAAAGGAUAACCAAGACGACGAUCCCUAGCUGGUCUGAGAGGAUGACCAGCCACACUGGAACUGAGACACGGUCCAGACUCCUACGGGAGGCAGCAGUGGGGAAUAUGGCACAAUGGACGAAAGUCUGAUGCAGCAAUGCAGAGUGUAUGAAGAAGGUCUUCGGGUUGUAAAGUACUUGCAGCGGGGAGGCGUUACCCGCACAAGAAGCACCGGCUAACUACGUGCCAGCAGCCGCGGUAAUAC